rnacentral:rRNA from 1 species
AUUGAACGCUGGCGGCAGGCCUAACACAUGCAAGUCGAACGAGUGGCGGACGGGUGUGUAAUGUAUGGGAAACUGCCUGAUGGAGGGGGAUAACUAGUGGAAACGGUAGCUAAUACCGCAUACCAGCAAAUGUUCCCAGAUGGGAUUAGCUAGUUGGUGGGGUAAAGGCUCACCAAGGCGACGAUCCCUCGCUGGUCUGAGAGGAUGAACAGCCACACUGGAACUGAGACACGGUCCGGACUCCUACGGGAGGCAGCAGUGGGGAAUAUUGCACAAUGGGCUCAAGCCUGAUGCAGCCAUGCCGCGUGUAUGAAGAAGGCCUUCGGGUUGUAAAGUACUGUCAGCGGGGAGGCGUUACCCGCAGAAGAAGCACCGGCUAACUCCGUGCCAGCAGCCGCGGUAAUUC